rnacentral:rRNA from 1 species
UACGGAGGGGGCUAGCGUUGUUCGGAAUUACUGGGCGUAAAGCGCACGUAGGCGGCUUUGCAAGUUAGAGGUGAAAGCCCGGGGCUCAACCCCGGAAUUGCCUUUAAAACUGCAUCGCUUGAAUCCAGGAGAGGUGAGUGGAAUUCCGAGUGUAGAGGUGAAAUUCGUAGAUAUUCGGAAGAACACCAGUGGCGAAGGCGGCUCACUGGACUGGUAUUGACGCUGAUGUGCGAAAGCGUGGGGAGCAAACAGG